GAAGACUUACUGAAAAAAAGUGAACUUUAAGGAGGGAGCUGAUGGAGGGGAAAGAGCUUGCAGCUGAGAUUGGAAGAAGAUUUUAAUGUAUAGGAAUAAGUUAGUACCCCUUCAAAUAGUUUGUGAGCCCUCAAGUAGUGCUCACUGUGUUCUGUGCUUUUAGAAACUACCAGAAACUUGCCAAAGCAGCAGUCUGUAUGUAACUAGGCCUUGCAUAUAUUGAGCAAACAGUUAUUAAGAACGCAGCCCUGCCCUUGUGGUUUCUUCAAAUUAUUUGUUGUGUAAAAAGCAAGACACACAAAGACAAAGGGACUUAAGGAGAUAGACUUAGGGAGAGCACAGAUCAUGUGUGCAUAAAUAUGAGUGCAUAUGUAACCCACACACCUGCUGGGUGUGGUGUUCUGUCCCAUCUAGUGGCAGAAAGAGAGAGAGAGAUAAGUCUGAUCUACAGCCUUAGCUAAGGGCCAUACGGCUUUUAGCUCAUGCAAUAGAGGCUCCUGCACUAAACUCCAGAGGUCCCAGAUUCGAUACUGCCUGCCAACAACCGGGGCCCGUUGGCAUAACACAUGCACAACACUAGGAGGAAACAGGAGCUGAGAUGGCACCAUAAAAUGCAGAGCUUUGAAGGAAUCUGGGGGAUGAAGAGGUGGAAAGGAGAUGUUAAUGGAGACCAAGAGAGAUGCAGUAACCACACUGAUUCUCAAGGUCCCAAUCAUACCAUCAGCUGAUUCAAGUCCCACAUCUAUCACCAACAAGUGACUGAAGCGCUGAUCAAAGGGG